rnacentral:lncRNA from 1 species
ACUUCAGUGCUUAUGGUGAAGUUAAACAUGUUGUUGUCUACUUAGCAAAGCCAUAACUUUCGUUACUUUUGUUGAUUCUUCCAAGCCUCAAAUUGGCCUUCAACAACAACAACAUAUUAUUCUUGGUCGAAAUGUAUAUAUCAGAACUUGUAACAAUUUAAUUUUAAACUUGGGCUCAAUCCCAAGCGACCCUAUUUCCCAUUCCCAAUCAUCAAAAAUAAAAAAUAAAAAAAUCAAAGCAUGUAUUAAAUCCAAAU